AACCAGUGCAGACAGGUGUGGCCCAGGCAUCUCUGGGCAAGGAUCUCUUUAAAUGCCUUACUCUCAAGCACCACUAGGAGG
rnacentral:pre_miRNA from 1 species